AUGCAAGUCGAACGAUGAACCGGGUAGCUUGCACCUGGGGAUUAGUGGCGAACGGGUGAGUAACACGUGAGUAACCUGCCCUGGACUCUGGGAUAACCCCGAGAAAUCGGAGCUAAUACCGGAUAGGACCUUUCCUCGCAUGAGGUUUGGUGGAAAGUUUUUCGGUCUGGGAUGGACUCGCGGCCUAUCAGCUUGUUGGUGAGGUAAUGGCUCACCAAGGCGUCGACGGGUAGCCGGCCUGAGAGGGUGACCGGCCACACUGGGACUGAGACACGGCCCAGACUCCUACGGGAGGCAGCAGUGGGGAAUAUUGCACAAUGGGCGCAAGCCUGAUGCAGCAACGCCGCGUGCGGGAUGACGGCCUUCGGGUUGUAAACCGCUUUUAGUAGGGAAGAAGGGCUUCGGCUUGACGGUACCUGCAGAAAAAGGACCGGCUAACUACGUGCCAGCAGCCGCGGUAAUACGUAGGGUCCGAGCGUUGUCCGGAAUUAUUGGGCGUAAAGAGCUCGUAGGCGGUUUGUCGCGUCUGCUGUGAAAACUAGAGGCUCAACCUCUAGCCUGCAGUGGGUACGGGCAGACUUGAGUGGUGUAGGGGAGACUGGAAUUCCUGGUGUAGCGGUGGAAUGCGCAGAUAUCAGGAGGAACACCGAUGGCGAAGGCAGGUCUCUGGGCACUUACUGACGCUGAGGAGCGAAAGCGUGGGGAGCGAACAGGAUUAGAUACCCUGGUAGUCCACGCCGUAAACGUUGGGCGCUAGAUGUGGGGACCUUUCCACGGUUUCCGUGUCGUAGCUAACGCA
rnacentral:rRNA from 1 species